GGAAAGGCGCGCGAUACAGGGUGACAGCCCCGUACACAAAAAUGCACAUGCUGUGAGCUCGAUGAGUAGGGCGGGACACGUGGUAUCCUGUCUGAAUAUGGGGGGACCAUCCUCCAAGGCUAAAUACUCCUGACUGACCGAUAGUGAACCAGUACCGUGAGGGAAAGGCGAAAAGAACCCCGGCGAGGGGAGUGAAAAAGAACCUGAAACCGUGUACGUACAAGCAGUGGGAGCACGCUUAGGCGUGUGACUGCGUACCUUUUGUAUAAUGGGUCAGCGACUUAUAUUCUGUAGCAAGGUUAACCGAAUAGGGGAGCCGAAGGGAAACCGAGUCUUAACUGGGCGUUAAGUUGCAGGGUAUAGACCCGAAACCCGGUGAUCUAGCCAUGGGCAGGUUGAAGGUUGGGUAACACUAACUGGAGGACCGAACCGACUAAUGUUGAAAAAUUAGCGGAUGACUUGUGGCUGGGGGUGAAAGGCCAAUCAAACCGGGAGAUAGCUGGUUCUCCCCGAAAGCUAUUUAGGUAGCGCCUCGUGAAUUCAUCUCCGGGGGUAGAGCACUGUUUCGGCAAGGGGGUCAUCCCGACUUACCAACCCGAUGCAAACUGCGAAUACCGGAGAAUGUUAUCACGGGAGACACACGGCGGGUGCUAACGUCCGUCGUGAAGAGGGAAACAACCCAGACCGCCAGCUAAGGUCCCAAAGUCAUGGUUAAGUGGGAAACGAUGUGGGAAGGCCCAGACAGCCAGGAUGUUGGCUUAGAAGCAGCCAUCAUUUAAAGAAAGCGUAAUAGCUCACUGGUCGAGUCGGCCUGCGCGGAAGAUGUAACGGGGCUAAACCAUGCACCGAAGCUGCGGCAGCGACACUAUGUGUUGUUGGGUAGGGGAGCGUUCUGUAAGCCUGUGAAGGUGUACUGUGAGG
rnacentral:rRNA from 1 species